CGUCGCAAGCUUACCCUGUGAAGGUGAAGUAGUAAGCAAAAUGGGUACAUCCCAGAACGUCAGGUCGAGGUGUAGCUUACGGGGUGGGAAGAAAUGGGCUACAUUUUCUACUCCAGAAUAUACGAACGGCAUUAUGAAAUUAAUACCCGAAGGUGGAUUUAGUAGUAAAAAUCAAAUAGAGAGUCAUUUUGAAUUAGGCUCUGAGACGCGCACACACCGCCCGUCGCCCUCCCCAACAAACCUAAACUUAGUAAUUAACCAAAAAUUAACACAAACGGGGAGGUAAGUCGUAACAUGG
rnacentral:rRNA from 1 species